GCAAUUCAUUUAUCAUUGUAAAUCCCACGAAGAAGCACUUCAAUAUAUUAAAAAAAUAUGAGUUAGCAACAACAAUACGAUUUGUGGUGUUUAAGGCGAAUAAAAAUUUUGGAGCAACUGAGAUUCUUACCAAGACUCAUAAUGUACUUUGGGAUGAUUUUGCUAUUCCUUAUUCUGGGAUGCCUUUCAUAAUAGUUUCAAGUAAAGUUUUAGAUUGUCAUCAUGGGUUCGAUCGAAAUAUUUCAUUAAAAAAAAAAUUUCAACAAAAGAAAAGAAAAAAUAAGAUGGAUGACCACUGCUUUCAAAAUAACUACGUUAUUUUACAAGAUACCAAAAAGUUUAUGUGUCCUGCAAAAAUCAAUAUGAGAGAAAUAUUGCAAUAUCCUGAUUUUAAGAUAUCAGAGAGGUCUGUAUGGCGUUAAAAUAAAGCCUCAAAACUGUUGCGUGAAAAACUAAAAACCUCUGCAUUGAAUGAAAUAUUGCAUAUAAGAACAAUUGUAGUUACUAUUGAUGCCAUGAUAAACAUCUUGUUGGACCAGUAUAAAAAUAUAAAAUAGUUUAAUUCUAAAUUGUAGAUAAUUAUUCAACCAAUAUAUAUAUAUAUAUAUAUAUAUAUAUUUAAGGCUGAACUGAUAGCUCAAGGUAUUGAUCCUCUAAUUUCCAAAAAAAUAGAAGAUUAUGUUAUGGAAGGAGUAUUCAAUGUAAGAGAGAUGAAACGUCUCCUUCGGAUUGCUGUCAACGACAUUUUUGAAAAAGAAAAUCUUCCUCCUCCAAAUAACAGAAGGUUCUUCCCUCGUCUUGAUACAAUAAGGUCACAUAUCGUUAAAAUCAAACAAAAGUUAAAAUAUUCUUUGAUUGAUCAAGAGUGUCUACUAAAAAAGUGUGACGACUGGAAAAAAUGCGAUCCUUCCAUAAACGUGUUUCUCCGACCGAAGUCCGAAACCAUAAGCAAUGUCAAUGAAACGUUUCUUUUUGUUUAUCAGUCACUCUGGCAACAAGAACUUCUUCUACGUUAUGGAAAUGAAAUAGUGCUUCUUGAUGCUACCUAUCGAACUACAAGUCUAUCACAGAAGCAUUAAAUAUAAUAAAGCAUUGGAACACAUCAUUUAACCCUGCUUUUUGUAUGACUGAUUAUUGCAAUGAAGAAAUAGAAUCCUUGCAAUCUAUUUUUCUAGCUUGUCGAGUUAUCAUAUGCGAUUUUCAUAGAGAGCAGGCAUGGGAUCACUGGCUUUCCAAAAUCAAAAAUGGCUGUUCUGAAUAUAAAGGCAGCAUAAUUUCAUUGUUGCGUUGUGUUGCCACAGCACAAACUGAAGAUCAGGCAAAAGCUGCUAUUGAGUCACUACAUUCCUCAAACUUUUGGGUAGAAGAAAAAUUUGAUAAAUUUAAGAAAUAUAUUACAAAUUAUUGGUAAAGUAUUAAAGAAGUA